CCUACGGGAGGCAGCAGUGAGGAAUAUUGGUCAAUGGGCUUACGCCUGAACCAGCCAAGUCGCGUAAGGGAAGACUGCCCUAUGGGUUGUCAACCUCUUUUGUCAGGGAGCAACGCCGGCUACGUGUAUCCGUACUGAUAGUACCUGAAUAAAAAGCAUCGGCUAACUCCGUGCCAGCAGCCGCGGUAAUACGGAGGAUGCGAGCGUUAUCCGGAUUUAUUGGGUGAAAAGUGUGCGUAGGCGGAAUGCCAAGUCAGCGGUAAAAUCGCGGGGCUCAACCUCGCGCCGCCGUUGAUACUGGCGUUCUUGAGUGGGCGAGAAGUAUGCGGAAUGCGUGGUGUAGCGGUGAAAUGCAUAGAUAUAACGCAGAACUCCGAUUGCGAAGGCAGCAUACCGGCGCCCAACUGACGCUGAAGCACGAAAGCGUGGGUAUCGAACAGGAUUAGAUACCCUUGUAGUC
rnacentral:rRNA from 1 species